AGCAACGCAGCCGGCUCCUCUCUCCCCGCUCGUCUCCUCCUCUCCCCCACGCCGCCCCUCCUCUCCCCGCUCGUCUCCUCCUCUCCUCUUCCCUCGACGCCGACUCCUCGCUGGCCUCCGCCUUCCCUCUCCGCGUCACCCCCGCAAUCCUUGCCGCCGCCUCCUCUCCUGCCGCCGCCACCUCGGCCUCGUCUCCUCUGUGCUGCCUCCUCCUCUCCACUUCUCUCCGCCACCGCAUGGCCGCCGCCGCUCGUCUCUUUCUUCACGCGACUCCUGUAGGACGAACCAUCCCCAUCCUCCAUCAGCCGCUGUUGUGCGCCGUGGUUCUUGACCGGCCGCAGGUCUAGGAGCAGAGGAGGACGGCGGUGGGGGGAAGGAAGAGUGCGGCCCGGACUCAGCAGGAGGAGGGGAGCAGCAGCAAAUCGGGCUUUAGGUUAGGCGAGGCUGGUGGUGCUCAGGCUUACGCACCACCAAAGGAUUUUCUCAUCGUGAUUGUGGCGUGCACUACGUCGAUGUGGACGGAGCGCGGGACAAGGUGACGGUGACUGGCACGGCGAGCCAGAAGAACGUGCUGCGCGCGGCGCACGGGGAAGCUCGCCCACUACCCUCCUCCACUUGUUCUCGUCUCGGUCAGGCUGGUGACCAGUGCCAGCACCGCUGCCACAUGUCGCCCACGCCCCUCCUCCGCUCGCUCUCGUCUCGGUCAGGCUGGUGACCAGUGCCAGCACCGCUGCCACACGUCGCCCACGCCCCUCCUCCGCCUGCUCUCGUCUCCGUCAGUAUGCUGAUGUUCAUUCCAUUGGAGCUGAGUCUCCUUGCCGGCGACCUUGCCAUCAAUUGCCUAUCUGCAGAUCGGAGAAAGAAGAGAUGAAGAACAAUUUUAGCUGAAGAGUUGAAGAAGCCAAGGUGAAUUUUAACCGUCUUGCAAACCCAAUCAAGUUUGCACUUGCAUUUUGAUAAUAUGAUUUGUGUUGAUGUGAGCACGAGUCCCUCUGAAGUGCUCGACCACCGGCUGGUUGCAGUGGAAGUCAGCAUCACUUAGCCGUGGCCAUCCCGGGCGCCGCGAGAAUUAGCUGAAAAAUCUUGCUGAGAUCCAGGUCACGGGCCAUCCCCAUUUAGGUGGCUAUGAAACUUGUUCCUAACGAAGAUAAAUUUAUGGAGGUGGUUAGGGGAACAGGAGGAGCAAGUUUGGCCUGGCAGGUGCUUCUCAGGUUCGAUGGCUUCCAGCAACAUCAAGAUCAUAGUGCUUUCCUCUUAGGUUCGGCCUUUGACAUUAAGCUCAAAAUCUACAUGUUGUCGAUUCGAUAAGAGAAGGCAAGGAGCUGUCCGCGAUCAGUAUGUAGUAAUGGGCAUCAAAGUUUUCUUACACCGGUGAUUCUGAAGCCGUUAAAUUGAUAUGAUCGCUUCACUCCCCUCCUAUACUCCUUUAGUCCAUUUAUUCCUAGACUAUAUGUUUUUAUUUUGUUAAAACCUUGAAGUAUUAAGAUGUUAGGGUAAAUUCUCUCACAAAGCUUGCUUUCUCCAUAGUCAUAUGUACAUGUGUUACUUUAUUUCCUAUAGCUAUAUUGCUAUUUCCCUCGGGACUUAUCCCCCUUUUCCUUCUUUAUAGUAGCAUGAUCAGGUGAAGGAAAGAAAAAUGUGUUUGAAUUAUCGUGUGGGUCUUUAAACAAUUAUGUGUGUCUUUAAACAAUUAUGUGUAUGGAGUAAGAACUGUAUAUAUAGCUAUUGAAUAAGAACUAUAUGUAUAGUUAUCGAUAUAUGUUUCUUGCAUCUUAGGGGUUCAAUGGCACCCGUCUCAUGUUUCUUCCAUGUGAUUUUUUACCCGAAUAUUAGGAUCACAACUUAACUUAAAUUAGCAGUAUAGUGUCAAUGGGCAUCAUUUGAAGCUAAUAAGAUGUUGUUACUGAAGAACAGCCCCUUGCUACUGGCAUAGUACGUGAAAAACACCCUAAAUAGAUUAAAGAAAUCAUGCUUGACUGUGAUUGCAUUUGGUUGAUGCUUAGGUGUAUUUCCCAUCGGUACAUCAAGGUGGUAAUCUUCUACAUUUCAGGUCCAAGCUUUCAAUGCAUUUUUCUAUCUUUUUUCAUAUCCCAGUGAUCAUCUGCAAGGCCGAAUUAUGCCAUUGUUGAUGGUGCACAGGUCUGUUGCAUGGUAAACCCAGUAUUGGCCCUCCUUUCAAGCUCUUGUGUUCAUCCUAGAGAAAAUUCUGGAAAAUACAUCUGAACUAUCUUUUUAAUCUUCCAAUAGUGUACUCCUACGAUUAUAUAUAUGGAUACAUCAAAUCGAUGUGUCUAGGGACCUAAAGCCUUAAGAGUUAAGUGCCAAACUGGGGACCAAUGUCAUAACUACAGAUGGGAUUUAUUCAGUUAUUUUCUUGCCUAGAAUGAUGAUGUAUGCAUAUGGGCGUUGUUCAGUCAUAAGAGCUUAUCGGUUCAGCCUGCAUAGUUUUGUUUCUUCAGUGUACUGUGUCUGAGGAAAACAUUUAUUUUGUUUCCUAUUUAAGUGAAUUCAUGGAUGAGAUGGACGAAUUUCUAUUGUGUGGGCUGGAGGUUCUUGAGGUAGGGCACCAGCACUAGCUAAGGGUAAAAUGUAUGACAUGCUUGAUGAGCAUGCAUGUCUAUAUGAUUUUGUGGCACUGAUUUGUUCCAUGCCAGUUUAUUUCCAGCAGUUGGUCUCCUUCUUCAUAGAGAUUUUAUCAGUAUACUAAAUUAAAUAAGAAACUGAAUGUAUAUUGCUUUCACCUUCAGUUCGAACAUGAUUUCUUAUUUAUGACAUAGGUGGAAAUUAGCAAGCAAGCUACAGUCGGUCCAUGGAUGACCAAGUUUACAGAUUACUUUAUGAAGAUGAUGAUUCCUAAAUAGAAUUACGAGCUAGGUCCUGCAUGUUGAUCGUGCUUCAAGGUACAGUUGUUCGUGCCUUGUAAAAUUGUAAUACUUUUUAUUGGUUGUGCAUCCUAGGACCAAAAGCUUGAUUCAUAGAUAUCCGAAGAACUGGGGACUUUUUACUCUCUGUCGUUGCAGGGUAGAAUAGGAUGGGAGGAGGGGACGUGCGCUCCAUAUUUUGUUAUGCACACCUUCCUAAACUAUACUUUUCUUCUUAACAUAUGUUCAUUGUCCGGUAGAAGCUGUAGAUUUCAGCAUACAGUAAUUUCCAAAAUGGCAGAAGGUAAGAACCAUGUUACAUGAUCCUUUUGUGUUCUCUUGAUAGUGUUUAAAGCUUAAAUUGAUAACUCCAUCAGAGUUCAAGCAUUAGGCUCUCUGCUCUGUGUAUUGCCAAGUGUUCUAUAUAAUGCUUUGAUGUUCCUUUGUCACUGUUUGAUGUUCUGCCUUGGGUGGCCUCUGUCUUGGUUUACAGCUCCAUAUGGUGUUUCCAUAUUCUUGCCUUCCUCUUUUUAACUCAUGAGAUUGUUAGAUAGUUGAAUAUCAUUGGUUUCUAUCGGCAUUCUAUUUUUGCAGUUUGAAAUUAGUAUCGGUCCAUUGAUAUUAAACUUCACAGUAGGUAGUGGCAUCUUCAGGAAAAAGUAGUGGCAGAUAUACUGGAGACUACUGCCCAAAUCCUCAGCACAUAUUUUUUUAGUAACGGAGAGGAUUAUUCACCUUUGCGGCUGUAGGCGUUCAAGACCUGGCAGGGCUGGGUCAACCGGCCCUUUGUGUUCAUGACCCGGCUCUGAUGAGCCUUAACAGCCGUGCUACCGGCUGGGCAUCUUCAUCCUGAGCCGUGUCCAGAACAAGACCAGUAGGGGCACCCUGAGCGAGUACUCGAGGCAUGCUGUCAAGUUGGAUGAGUGCAACCAGGCGAGUUGCCGUGUGUGUCCACGGUUCAUAUAGUCAAGGUGUUCGCUCAUCUUGGGCCAGAAUGAGCACUACAAGAGGAAGCCCCCAAUAUUUUUCAUUCUUUGAUAGAUGGUUACAUUGUUGUAUGUUGGUUAAAGACAAUGUUUUUCUUCUCGAAUUAUGAUACCUCAAACAACAGUAAGAUAUAACCGUUUUAUUUGUUUUGCAAUGAAAGCUUCCAUCAAAUAGUAUUUUAGAAUUGUGCUCCGUCUUAGGCUAUUUUGUACUCCCUCCGUUCCUAAAUAUAAGUCUUUGUAGAGAUUUCAAAUGGACUACCACAUACUGAUGUAUAUAGACAUAUUUUAUAGUGUAGAUUCAUUCAUUUUGCUUCGUAUGUAGUCAUUUGUUGAAAUCUCUAGAAAGACCUACAUUUAGGAACGAAGGGAGUAGAUUCAUACAAGAUACAGUUUGUGUGCAUUGAAAUAGCAACAAGUUGGCCUCUCGGUCUCAUUUCUGUAUGCAUUUGACUCGUACACGCAACCAGCGUGUCCAUGUGAUUUGGAUGAAUUUUUCUACCCUGUUUUAUGUUGUGAUGUCUUUGAUUUUUGUCUCUUCCAGAUUUACAUAGAGAUGCCUCGGUGAAUACUCAAGAUUUUUGUGUUCUUUUCUAUUGACGGCCUUUAGGUUUUUAUUUUUAUUUUUAUAAUGUUCUGAAACGAGGUCACACCUACUAAUCUUGCUCUACAGGCUAAUGGCAUGAUGCUAGGUCAAGAAUGCAGGGUGAGCAAAAUAAGACUAUGAACACUUUUAUCUCUUUGUUCAUCUAGAGCAUAUGGAGGGAGCAAGAUAAGGGGCUUUGACAGUGUCUUCACACCGCCUCAGAGGGGGUGCCACCGAGGGCUUUCUCAUGGAACGCGGUGCAAGGUGGUUUUACGGUGCACUAGGGGAGCAUGGAACGUGGUGCACUGGGGGUGCCACUGAGGGCUACCCUGCACGCUGGUCUUCUACUACUUUCCCAGGCCUAUUACUUCCCCUGAGAUGGUUCUAAGGGUUCUAUUCGACUCUAUUAUAUUUUUUUCUUUUUUGAUUGCUUUUCCUUCUCUGUUUCUUUUUUUAUAUGCAAGGCCAUAAAAUUUUACCAUGCAUCCUUGCUCACACAGAAAAUUACUUCAAAACACACAUGCUUCUAAAAAUGCACAUCCUUUUCAGAACUAUGUAUAUCUUAUCAUCAAAGGUUAUAAGGCAGAAUGUGUUUGCCCACAACUAAAACAAGUAAUACAUUGUACUUCUUCAAAUCACACGUGGAAUUAGCGAGCUCCUUCAGGUAUUUCAAGGAAAAAACAGAAUCUGUUUAACUAAUUUUCUAUAUUGCUUAUUUAUGCAUUUGUGACCAUAGCUUUCCACUUUAGCUCAUAAACUAGAUGGCAAAAUAGAGUUUGCCCAUUUCAUAUCUAUGUUGCCUUAUUAGGAAAAUAGAGUUUGUUUUAUAGCUUAUGCUUAAUAUGUUUGUUCGAUUGGUGAAUGCUCAACAUUACCUCAUAAACCGGAUGGCAAAUGCUAAUUCUGAUGGGGCUUUUGCCACUUCUUUUUUUAUGGUUGUCUAGCCAGCUGAUGGCAUGCUUCUUUCUUGCUAAUUGUCAAUUCUUUUGUACAUGGCCCCUCAGCUACUUAUGCUUUGCUAGACAAUGAGAGUAUGUAGAUAGCAUGUAUGGUUUUUACAUUGUCUUGUGCAGGUUGAGAUGCAUCACAUGAUGUUUUCCUUUUACAUGUAUGGCUAUUACAGAGUCCUUUCUUUUUCCACAAGGGGCAGUAGUUGUGCCAUUCGAUUCGAAGGACAAAGAGUUGAUCACAAAGGGGUAUAGAACCAAAUUAUAUGAUGUAACUGGCCACUAUCUCUAUUAACUUCUCCUAUACACAAUGUUCACGAGUUCAUGUAUUAAGUACAUUUUAUUGUGUCACUUGUGUUUACUCUUUUUUUAAUGCAAGUUUACAGCUACUCGGAGUUCCUAA